ensembl:lncRNA
CUUUUUUUUCAUUUUCUGAGACCGGAAGUGGUCAUCAGCAAGUGUGGAGCCAAACAGAGUACGGUGCAUAGACUGGAUAUAAUUUUUUUUCGUUAGUUUUCAUGGUCAAAAUGAGAGAUCAGGUGGCCGAUCUUAAAAUAAAUCAAAAUUUAAUUUUUUUAUGGAGCGUUAAAGUUUUGCAAAGCCAGGGGGCGGGGUUACUUGAUUGACAGUCCGGUCUGGAAUGAUUGACAGGUCCUAUGGAGGAGGCAGCAGAGACUCUGCUCUCCUCGUUUGGAUUGACUCUGAUAUGAUCACUGUUUGUUUAUUUAUCCAGUCCCUCCAGGAAUUGGCGAUGUUACGAUGGCGCGAAUUCACGCGAAAUCAACCAAUCACCGCGACCUUGCAAUUUUAACCAAUCACCGCAACUUUACCGCAAUUUUGGCCCGCCUCCCGUGAGUUCCACCAAUCAUAGCAGUCUCCAGCGAAAACGUAAUGCACGUACGUCACCGAAUUCACUUCCUUGUUUAUGGUUUGAAGACGCAAACAUGUCCCAUUCUAAUGUCUCUCAUUUACCAACAAAAAUUACUACUGAAGUCUGUGCAGAACAAUUAAUUCCCUGAUGUUCUUCACCAAAGCGGAAGUAAACAGUUUUACACCCGUGCAAUGUUGUGGUGGAAUACAAAAAAAGAGAAAAAUCAUCGAUUGAUAAACACUUUUUUACCACGAAACACAUCAGGAGAAUGUCUGAAACGAGCGGACCACAGACCAGACAAAUGAACAUGAUGGAAACGGCUGCAUCCAGAUCUGUAGGAGCACUGAGAGGAUGAAGACCAAAGAACUACAGACUCUUCACAACCUGCUCAAACUCUUGGUACAGGACCUCACCACACGGGUCAAGAAGGUUUCCAUCUCAUUUCUACUCUGAAGCUCACCUUCUCCUGCUCAAACUGCUGACAAAUGUUUCUGCUGCUCUAAAGUCUGGUCUCCAGAACUUCCUAAAAACUCUCAAAGUCUCUGCUGCUGCAGGUUGCUUUGUAGAACUGUUGCAGAAAACCUCACUAAACCACAUGGAGGGGCCUCAAGAUAGUCGUCCAAAUGAAACCAUACAAAAACCAAACUAGCACAACCCAAACGCUAAAGUCUCCUGCAGCCUACCAGAGAAGUUCUGAGAACAGAGAAUCAGGACAGAAACUCUUACCUUCUGGACAACCAAUGCUGGUUCUCAAACAAGAAUACAGAAUGUGUCUGACCAAAAACCUCUGAAGACUCACUACAGCCAAGAUAAAGACACAACUCACCUGCACCAAAUCCACUAAUCACUGCACACAUUAUCACCAUGUGCUAACUGCGGCUAAAGAACCACCUUUACCAAGACAACUAUCCAGUACAAAGCCCUAAAACACACCAAAAAACACAUUAAAGACGAUUUUACUGCUGGAAGCUGCAAGCCAACGCCUAAAGAACAAACUAAGCAACGGAGCCAAACCCAGCUCAGUGGUGAAGAGAAACAGAGGAAAUGUUUGUCUGCAGCUAAACAAAGCAGGAAGACACUGAGCUGCUCAGGUGUUCCUGAUAAUACCAAUCAGCCACCUGGACAGCCAAUAGGAACACAGCUUCCUGGAAGUCCAGAGGGCUGGCUUAGUCAAGGAAAUUUAGUUUAAAGUUGAAGCAGAAAGUUAACAAAAAGUUGAAAACCACCUUCUGAUACCUGAAAUCUCUGAGUUUUCACACAAAGAACGCCUGAACAUGUCAAACUGGUUCCAUAGUAGAACCAUCAUUGUAAAAACGUCAUAGUAUGGUGUGUUGCUCAAAAAACAUUACGACCUGGCUGUCUUGGGUCGCUGAGGAGCAACACAAAAACAGGACAAAUGCUGGUUUCCAGGGGGUUAGGAGGAUAUUUAUUUGAAAGAGGAAGUUUACAACAACACGUGUGCAGAAAAUGUCAUCCAAAUUGUGACAAAAACGUCAUAGUUUAGUAUGUUGUCCAAAAUGUAACAAAAAUGUCAUAGUUUAGUAUGUCGUCCAAAAUGUAACAAAAUGUCAUAGUUUAGUAUGUGCUUCAAAAUAUGACAAAAACGUCAUAGUUUAGUAUGUGGUCCAAAAUGUGACAAAAAUGUCAUAGUUUAGUAUGUGGUCCAAAAUGUGACAAAAACUUCGUAAUUUAGUAUGUUGUGCAAAAUGUGACAAAAACGUCAUAGUUUAGUAUGUUGUCGAAGAUGUAAUAGUUUAGUAUGUCGUCCAAAAUGUGACAAAAACGUCAUAGUUUAGUAUGUGGUCCGAAAUGUGACAAAAACGUCAUAGUAUAGUAUGUGGUCCAAAAGGGGAAAAAUGUCAUAGUUUAGUAUGUCGUCCAAAAUGUCGCUAAAACAUCAUAGUUUAGUAUGUCAUCCAAAAUAUAGCAAAUGGGUGCCCAGGUAGCUCAGCUGGUUGAUAGGGUGACUCGUAAACAGGACUCUGUCAGACAUAGGUUCGAUUCCAGCUCAUAGCCCUUUACUGCAGGUCUUCCUCUUAGCUUACGUAUUGGUGAAAGAGUCCAAAAAAUAACUUUUAAAAAAACAUCAUUGGCUGUCUUCUUAAAUGUGGAAAAAAGUCAUAGUAUGUAGUCCAAAAUGUGGACAAAACGUCAGUUUAGUAUGUCGUCCAAAUUGUAUUAAAAAAACGUAAUAGUUUCUAUACUAUUCUAAACUAUGACAUUUCAGUCAACUGAGCAGCCUUGGCGGAGUACUGCACUCUCUGAGUGCUUUUCUAAUUUGUUUGUGUGUUUAUUUGUGGAAGAAUAUAGAAACACAUGAAAACAUUUUACAGCUUUUUUUUUUUAUCUUUCUUAAAUGGUUAGCUUAGCUUAGUUUAGCUUAAAUUAGCAUAAAGACUGGAGCUAUCGUCACUAUCUAAAGAAAAACAGUUUCAUUUAUAGAGAGGCAGCUUUAUACAGAUUUAUUAGUAAUAUGUGAAAUAUAAAUAAUGCUUUAGAGAUGCUUGAGGGCAGAUUUUUGUCCUCUUCUCAAAAGAACCAGGCUAGCUUUUAGUACCCUAUCAUUAGCAUUAGCAAAUGGCUACUAAAAGUGACGGCCAAACAGAUGACUACCAUUAUCAUUGUUAGGUUGUGGUCGUAGCGGUAUUAUUUCACCAGCACAGCCACCAUGAAGUUUUGAUUUUAUUGUAUUUUCUAGCAUGUAUUUUUGGCACUGUUCUUUUUUUCUAUCGGUCUUCAGAGAUGAAAGAUUAUUUAUCACAUCUUGGUUCAUUCAACAGAAGUGAAAUAAAUGGUAACUCUAGCGAAAUCUAAGAGAAAUCCAAGAGAAAAACACGCCUGUUUUCAAAUCCAAAGUCGUAGUUAGUCUGAGGGGCUUUCAAAGACUGAAGGCCAGUGUAUUAAAAAUCAAUCCGGUGUAUCUAUGGAUGUACAGAAACAUAUCACAGUAGUACUUCAGUACUGAGAAAAAGCUGUUUUUAUGACCUAAGGAGAAACUUUAUUGCAAGUGGGUGUUUGCAGUUCAUACACGACGGACAACACAGAUAUUAUCACUGGUGGAUAAUAAAAUAAUAAAAUCUAAAAUAUGUGUAUCAUGUCUGUGUGCUCAGAUUUAACAGUUAUGACUCUAACUCUGGCAAUCCUAGGCUUUAAGGACUUCUUCAUACC